rnacentral:rRNA from 1 species
AAGCGCUUGUGACCAGACUUGCGCCUAGCUGAUCAUCCGGUGUUCUCACCAGUGCACUCUGCUAGGCUCAGGCCAGCAUCGGUUUUCGUGGGGGGAUAAAGGCCACAGGAAUGUAGCUCCUCCGGGAGUGUUAUAGCCUGGGGCGUAAUGCCCUCGCGGGGACCGAGGUUCGCGCAUCUGCAAGGAUGCUGGCGUAAUGGUCAUCAGCGA